GCUGUCAUUGGCAGCUGCUGGUAUUGUAUGCAACUGCUACAACUGUCUUUGUUUAUUAGGAUGACUGAAUAGGAGUUUGCAAGCCCUCAGUCUUGGGUCUAGUUCUGGAUUGCUGCUAGUUUAGCUGCUGCAAUUGGAUGAUCAUUGUUCUUUCCAUUGUGGAGGACCUGGACAAGCAGUAUGCGGAUGUCUUGUUGCCAUUGAAGGAAAAUUUGACACCCAAGAAUUUUGGUCUCAAAUAUGUACAGAAGCUCACAAAACGAUCUGUGUGCCCUUAUGUGGUCCCAGAUGAGCUUGGAAUUCUUUUGAAUUCCAUGAAGAGGAUGCUUGACAUAUUGCGGUCCAAGAUAGAACAUCAGUUGAAUUCAUGGGGUUCUUGCAUCCCUGAUCGGGGAAGCACAACCUCUAGAGAGCGCCUCAGUGAAGUAACUGUGAUGCUUAGAACAGAGUUCAGGAAUUACCUGCAAGCAGUUGUGGAGAAGCUAGCAGGAAAUAUUUUGAUAGGCUUAUCGGGUCAACGUCACCAUUAACUGAUCUGGGCCCGGGACUACUCAAGAUGGCUUGACAAGCCCGAAGGGUGGAGGGCUAUAAUGGAGACCUACAGCGAGAAAUUGAUGGACUUGGCUUGCAAGUUGCUGGAGGUGUUGUCUGAGGCUAUGGCCUUGAGAAUGAGGCUCUUACAAAAGCCUGUGUUGACAUGGAGCUUGUGAUUCAUAAAUUUUAGAAAGAUAUAACAAUAGUGCCUUGGAAGAAAAUGGUUAAGCCUCUUGCGUGCUACUCAUUUUCCUUAAUGUUUGGAGAAAUUGGUGAUCUAAACAUGGUGACUAAUAAUAGCACUCAUUUCAAUGUUCAGUUUUUUAUGGAUCGAGCAUUGGUUGGUUCAUGUUCCUUGCCCUCGGUAAUAACAUGCAUACAUAUUAGCCUUUUUUGUGUUCAGGAUCAUGUUAUAGAUAGGCCAAUCAUGUCAACUUUAGUUUUCAUGAUCAGCAAAUUAAGUAUGCUACCGUGGUUGAGACACGGUAUAUUUUAAUUGUUCUUUUAAUAUUUUAUUAUAGUCAUGAUGCUUCCAUGGAUUUGGGUUUGCUCAAAUGGUGCAUUAUUAAAUGUGAAAUUUGAAUGAAUAUUGUGGCUUAUUAGCAAGAAAUGAAAGUCUCAUUAUUGACAUGUUUUAUUAUAGUUCUAUUAACUGAGCUAGAUGGUGAAGUCUAUAAGUGCAUUACUCAUAUUUGGUUUGUUUGAUUCAUACAAUUUUAUUUGUUUGUUUAUUUUUAUUUAAUUAUUUUUCAUUGAUAUGUUUCUGUCAAAUUUGCAACUUUUAUAUUCAUCAUUCAAUUUUCACGAAUGGUGACAAGUCUUCGUGGAAGCUAGAUUCUCCCUCAAACAUUGAUUUCGCUAUUUAUCCUCUCCUUAUUCUUUUCAAAUUGUUGAAAACUAAAGCAUUUCAGAAGGUACUUUAUUUGUCUCUUUGAGCUCCUUUGAAAUCCAACAUGAGCACUUGAAAUUUAUGAUUAUGUUUAUUUUCUAUAACAUUCAUAAUGCUUGCCGAUCAAAAACAUUCAUAUUGCUUCUAUCACUGCUUCAAUCAAGCUGAAUUCAUCCCAAAGGAACUUGAUUCUCAGAAACGGUCACUAAAUCUACAAGUAUGUGUUGUUAUUUCCUCAUCCAUUUCUCUUAUUAUUUAUGUCCUCUCCAUAUCUCAAAUCCUGCUGUACUUGUCACAAGAGAUUAAAGAUUUUAACCACCCUCAGCAGAAAUAUACAAUACCUACAUAUUACCAAUACCAAAACACACACUCAACAGGUUUUGAGGAUGGAUUGGGGCAAUCUCCAAGAGUUAAAAAAGCUGCAUAUUCUACAUUGAUUAUAGAAGAGAAUGUGUUUCACUCAACCAACAUUAUUUAUAGGAUAUAGUUUCAAUAGUUUUUUGCAUCACCCAUCAAUAGGGAAUUUCGGGUCCUCAAUUCAAUAUUGCUCAUAUUAAUUUGCAUUUUUUUCCUCUAAUUAAAUUCUUAGAUUUGGACCAUCUCUUUUUGGUUGCUUGGAAUAUUAGUUAGGUGAUUAGAUUUGCUGCAGAACCAUGUUCUGCACUUUUUCUUUUUUCUUUUUUUUUUUGGUUGCAACAAUGCGAAACUUAUUUAGGUUAUUAUUCAUGUGUAUAAAACGGAUGACUUGCAAAUAAGCAUGCAUUGUGGUUGUAACCAAAAGUUAAUGGUGGCAAGGAGAGAAUCUGUUGAGUGGAUUUUAAGGGUUAGGAGUUAAAAUGAUGUAACCAAAAGUAAAAGCCAAGGGGAUCUAGGAGUUAAAAGGAUGUAACCAAAAGUAAAAGCCAAGUGUGGUACAGUUAAGUCUUUAUACAACAUAAAUGGUGAUCAUGAGGGAUGGACCUUAAAUUUUAGAACUCUAUUUGAUUACUUGGUAAUUGUGUGUAUUCUUAUUGAUUUUCAUAGUUCUUAUUGCGGUCUCACAAUUCUUUGUUUUAUAUUUUCUUCAUUAUUUCAUAUUAUCUUAAUUGUUUGGUUUUCAAUAUUUUUUUCAUAUUUUAUUGUUUGUGGUAUUUAGACCCACAUCUGAAGGUAGUAUCUUAGAAAUUAGAUGGUAUUACUCACUUUUAUAGAACUGUAACUUGUGCCAAACCUACCCCCACCACAAUAUAUACAAUUGUCUAACAUCAUUUUUUAUAGUUUGUGCUAAAUCUUAUGAUCCUUGAUUCAAUUUGAUUCACAAUUCACACAAUUAGGAUUUUGAUUCCUUAUAGGAUUCUUGAAUGGACAACUAUGAUACAAUACAACAAGGACUACUCAUGCAUUUGUGGAAACAAGAAUGGAAUGAAUGUUAUAUAUGGAAGGGGAGUCAUGCGAUUCUCUUUUCAAAUCAAAUUGGUAGUCAUGUUAUUUCAAACAAACUAUCAGUGCUUAAUCAAAGUUAAAUGUAAGCUUUAUCUUUAGUGCAUUUUUCUGUCUUAAUUUUAUUUAUUUGUUUGAUAUGCAUAUUCAGAUUUUACAGCUGACCAUGCUAAUUGUUCUUUAUGGCUAUGACAUUUAUCUAGCUUCUUGGGCUUGACCUACACUAACUAAACUGUGCAACUUGUGUGAAAACAUACUUUUGUUUUUACAUUGUCAAUUGGAUGCUUUUUCAAUUUUUACAUCUUAUUUACCUAUUCUAGGACAAUAAUCAAAUGCAAAUUGUAUAAUAGCCAUAUGUACACAAUUUCUUUGCUUUUAUUUGUUUCUCUUUUGUGAAAUACAAAAUACUUCAGGGGAUGUGGAAGUUCACAUAAUGAAAGUAUUCUAUCAGUUCCAUAUAGCAUUCUAGAUGACUUUUCUUUCUUGUAUUAUUUAGUAGGAUUCUCUAUUUAUACAUUUAUAAAAAUAAAAAAAUUAUAUCAUUUGUGGGAUCCUUUCUGCAAUUAUCAUGAAAUAACAUUUCAGUUCUAUUGUCAUUUGUGAUGAUUCUUUCAUCUCUCCUUGUGAAAUAACCCUCUCUUUGGGUUUUGAUGAAUGGGUGUUAUUAGAUGCUUUCAAAGAAACUUUCUAUUUCUUUAAUUGUUCUUAAAUUUCAAUUAUUAUCUUAAGGGAUGAAAUCCCCCUAGAACAAAUGGAUCACUAGGGUGUGGAGAAUAGAAGACUUAUUUGUGGACAAUCAUGAACUUAUUGAAAUGUGUAGCUUACAUUGAGAACUUUUUUGCCAUCCCCACUCCUACUGCUUUUUCUUGCGAUGUUGCUUCUUUGAUGUGUCUACAAAUUUGAUUAUUAUUGUUGUUGUUUUUUUUUUUUUUGGCUUUUUUUAUCUUUAUCUGUUAUUGUUGUUACAAAUAGUGUGUGGAAAUAAAUGAGCUGCAAAGGAGUAUGUUUGGCAAGCAUUGGAGCAAACCAACCUGCUACUGAAGUUAUUCUGUGAUGCCCCAAAGGACUGAGGUGGAAUUUGAUGAUCAUGUGUUAUUGCACUGUCCGCUUGUUUGGUUACUUUGGUCACAUGUUAUUAGAUGGUGGGGUUUAGUUUGGGCAUUACCAGGCUCUGUUAAGGACUUACUCUAAUGGUGGGCCGGUGUAAAUCUGUCAAGACUGGAGAGGAAAAUCUAGAAUUCCAUUCUAUUUGUUGUUUUAUGGUCAGUUUGGAAGCUUAGGAAUUGAUUUAUUUCUUUGUGUUGUCAUCGAUUUAUUUCUUUGUGUUGUGAUUAGGUGGAGGAAUCAAAGUUUGUGUUUGAAGCCAAGAUAAUCCAGAGAAUGGAGCUUCUAGUGCUAUCUACUCUUCAAUGGAAGUUGAAUUCUCUGACCCCACUUUCAUUUGUUGAUCACAUUGUGAGGAGGUUUGGAUUUCAGACAGAUUUGCAUUUGGAGGUUUUGUGGAGGUGUAUGGUCCCACAGCACUAGAUUUAUUCGAUAAAUCUUGAAAGUUGCCAAUAUGUUUAGAAAGUUAGAUAUGCAUAGUUUUGGAUGGUUUAAACUUUUUGUACAGUUUAGAACUUAAGUAUAUAGUUUUAGAAUGUUUGGAAUGUAUAGACAAUUGUUGAAUGUUUAUAAUUUAUGGAUAUAGUUUCUUUUUGAUGUUUCAAA